rnacentral:lncRNA from 1 species
CCGGCCCACCCUGGCUGCGCGUGCGCCCUCCCGCCGGGCGCGGCUGAGUGGGCGUUGAGGGAGGUGGUGGAGCCUGAGGAUCUCGUGAGGCUCGUCCGGCGAGUCAGGUCGCCCCUCGUCGAAAUGAGGGGUGUCCUCGGGCGUCAGCCCGCCCGCUCGGGCCCUCAUAGUGAAGAGCUUGCUUGGAGUCUCAGAGGAAACUUUGUGCUUGGACUUUUCAGCAAUGCCAGAAUGGACCCUGCUCGCGUCAGUGCUGUCCACUCUGCUGUCCCCUGCACCGCCCCUGGCCGCUCCAAGAAGCUGUGUGUUCAGUAAAGAGUGGCAAGCUCCAGGAGUCAGCGUCUCAGCCUGGGCAGUAUGUCAGCCAACCACAGGAGCAGCAAGAGACAAGAGUGCAGUCUCAUUGGAGUACGCGGCGGCCUCUGGAGUAGGAAAGGAAGCCCCAGCCUGGGUAAUGUUUUGGCAUCAGCUCUGGGUCAAGGUGCAAUACGCAAGGGCAGCCCGUGUGUCUUGGUCACUGUCCCAUUUCUGGGACACAGAUCCAGACACCCACAGUUCUAGACACCCAGCACCCACAGUGCCCCACCCUCGCGAAGGAGAAGAGGUUUUCUCUGGCUCGUGGGUACAGUCCAUGGCAGGCUGGCGUCAAGGCGGAAACGGCAUGGUGGAGGGCCCUGGACGAGGACAGCCGCUCACAUCAUGGCAGCCAGAGAGCAAAGGGCGGAGCCUCGCGAGAGAGACGUCCAGGUUACUCCCCAGGGCCGGUCUCUCCCAGCCAGGCGCCGCCUCCUGACAGCAAGGCAGAGAUGGACUCCUCAGGGGUGUAAUCCCCGGAUGAGUGAGGCACCCCGUGAUUCAGUCGCCUCCCAAACAUGAGGCCUUGUGGACACCCCAGUCUAAAUCACAGCACCAUGCCUCAGUUAUAAGAACAGUAUUUUAGUAUUGUAACUUUAUUAUAAUUAUCCUGAAUUUCAACAAUUAAAUUAUCUCAAUUAUUAUUAACAUCAUUUUUACACUUCUAUUUUAUAAGUAAAUUAUUGAGUUUUUGCUCCAGAAGGAAAAAGGUGGCUUUGGAGUCUCCCUGUGCUGACUCCUGGGCUAGCGUUGGCGUGGGGUACACUCACAUGACUGGGGAAUUAGGCAGUCACCCGGGACCAUCUAUCAGGAGUGUUAGGGUUCAAACUGCGCCAAGCAUGAAAUCCUGUUGAAAACUAUUUCUCUCUAAUUAUUCAUUAGGUUCCUCGGAGUCUGACAGACACUCAACAUCAUCAUUUUGGAUAUUAAUUAUCCCUGUAAUGUGGCAGUGGAAAAUACAUUUUAAAAGAAUUCUGUUUUGUGCAACUCGGUAAACUGAUGCCUUAAUUUCCCUGCUCUGUGCUGCUUUGGAAACAUCACAAUGGAGUCAGUAAACUGGAGCAGUUUUAAUUGUUUCUUCCCUUUUCCUGGAAGCACAGCCAGGAGCGAAUGGCCUCAUGUAGCUUAACCCCACCCCCGAAUAUAAACACACCUAAGGAUUGACGAGUGAACGUCAGUUCUUCAAGCAAAGCUUGGUAGUGUGGUGCGUGUUGGAGUGACUGUCCAGAAACAGUGUCCUCGGGGCCCUCGGUGUCCUCUCUCCUUGUCACCCUGCUUCCACCCCAGCACGCACUGUCACAAG